UUGGUCACUCGAUAUCUCUCUCACAAUACUCUUCUACAUAAUGCAGUAAGCUUCAAUGAACAAAAUUAAUGGAGAACAAACAUAUUUUUACGUUGCUAAGAGUGGUUGCUAAGACAGAAGCAGCAACAUACACACUCAGUGGCGCAGCGAUACUAAUGUAAUGCGGUCAGCUGUAUGUUUUCGGGAAUUUUACAAAGACUUCGAACGCGGCUCAACCAAUCAGAAUCAAGGGCCGGAACUAUCCAUUUUCUAAUGAAUAACGACUAAAGUUUCACAUAAAACGAUAUGGCUGUUUGAACUACUUUUAUUGUGCUUUCUGUCUUUUUGUGGAGUUUACAGUCAUGGACAUCAUCUACUUUCAUUAGGCCGGAUAUGAGUUUGGAACAACAUGAGGUCUCCACCAUCCCACCCCACCCCUGGUACUGCUGAAAGGAGAGUUCAAGGUUUCAUUCUUCAUUCAAGAGCUUGAUCCUCGUGGUCACUUUUCCAUCUUGUUCCAUCUCAAGGGUACUAAAUGAAGGCGGAGCACUGGAGCCCUUCCAGUCCUCCUGGGGCCCUCAGGAAGGGCUAAGACCACAACGGUGCUCAACAGGAAAGAUUGAUGUUAGCAACCCACGUCACAUCUUAAAGACAUAGGAAGGUGAGAGGGAUUAAACUGUUCUCGGAGAGCAUGCAACUGCCACGCUGAGUCAGCAUUUGACCUACUCGCCAUGCAUCGACUUCACCACAGGCUGCUGCAAAACAGGAGGUCAGCAAAUAAAAGACAGCUGUUUAAUAUCAUACUGUGUUCGUGUAUGCCUUUUUAAUGCAGUCCAUGCAUUCCCUGAACUGAUAUACAGCAGAACUGUAGAUGUAAUGGUUUUUCCAUUUGGCAAGUAUGAAUAGUAAUGCAUUUGCCACGAUGUAGAGCGAAUCAAGAGUGAAAUUGUAUUCAUGAAACAUUCUUUCUCCUAGGUCAUAUAUAAUCUUGGCAUACAUUUAUGUGGCUAUAUAUGCAUGGAACAUUUUGUAGACACUGGUUGUCUAGACUUUAUAUUCUCAAGAACUUUAGGUGAGCAAGACGAUUAAGUAAAAGUGUCUAUAAUCUUGUUCACCAGCUACUGGAUUAACAGUUAAAGGUGCAAUAGGUGAUUCUCUACGGAAACAUUUUUUGUUAUACUGGUUGAAAGUCUCCUCGUAUCCUGAUAGCAAUCGCUAUGUUAAAACAGUCUAAAUGUGUUUUAUAAAUAUAUAUCAUCUGUGGAAGGCGUAGGACCAUAAAAUGUUCAUCCAAUCUUUAUAUUCAGUCUGAAUGAAAUAAUACGAUGUCCUACCUGCCUGUCAACGUAUGUUUUUACAUACCCUCAUGCACCCAAUUUGCGCAGACAUCAUACGUCAUCAGCACGUUUCAUGCUAUGCAGAAUUUAUGUAGACAAACGUCAGUCACGGAGCACCACAAACAAAAAGCAGCCACCUUUAACAGUUCCUCCAAAACAACGAACUUAUGCUGCGUUCACGCCAUAACUACUGUGAUUAAGAGAUUGCAACCCGUGACAUUCUAACCGGAGCUGUUCGGUCAGACUCGGAAUUAUGCGUUUCCAUGUCAACAGUAUCAACACCGAAAUGAAUCUGCAGCAGUCAGGUACCAGCUCUCUAAGUUGUUUACGUUCAUUAUUAUUGUAAAGUUGUGUGCUUUGAGACAUGAGGUAGUUUAACGUCGUCUCUUUGCCGAGAGCAGCUGUGUGUGUGUGUUUUGGAGGAGGCGUGGCUUUGGACGGCGAUUUGCUGGGAUCUAAUGCUUUCAAUGCUAGCAGGCUAACGUUAGCAUUUCGCAGAUCACCUACUGCACCUUUAGUUACAGUACGAAAUGCAUGGGAUUUCAUAAAGUUGUACAUUUUGAAACUAGUUCUUAUUUUAAAGGGUUCAUUCUUUGGGAAGAUCUGUAAAAGCAUGCCACACACUUCAGCACAGGGGGCAUUAUUCUUUCUUUGUUCUUCUAGAAAUAAUUUUCAAAUUUCCAAAACAAAUCCUCAUUACUUCACAGUGAACAGGACAGCACCUUACGUUGGUAACAC